UUUAAAUACAACUCUGAAAUGAUUUCAGUUCCGUCGAUUUGGUUCAUCAAACCCUCGCUGAGGGAUCAACAACCUCCAUGGCAACACUCUAAUCCCAACUGAACUUCAAAUUCUUCAAAAACCCAAAAAAAUAUUUCACAAAAACAAAUUCCAAACACAAAUAUAGGAAGAAAUUAGUGCCACUAGAACUCGUUCAAGAAGAAGAACUUCAGUUCUUCAUGCCUUUUCAUUUCUUUAGAUCUUAAAUCCUACUCGAGAACUUUUCGUCCAUAAUUCCGCUGUACAGGUGGAAUCUUCUUUGGUAUAGCUUGUUGAGGUUCGAUUUGGAUCUAGUGUGGAAGAGAUAAGCUAGGGUUGUUUUAAAGGCUGUUACUUUUGAGUAUAGUUAUCAUCUUUUGUGUUGAGGUGUAGAAGUUGGAUCUACUCAACCGAGAUCUUGUUUUUCAACUUAAAACUGGAUACAUACUUUGACUUGGAUUUGGAAGUUGUUUUGCUAUGGAAGCAGUGGUUGUUAUUGAGCAGCAUAGGAACCAAUAUUAUGAUCGAGUCAAGCCUCAUGGCCCAGCUCGAUUUGGAUCACUCCGAUCCCGAGACUUUGGAGGGAUGAAUUGUAGGAGUUUCCAAUCGGGAGCUGGAAUCCUUCCAACUCCUUUGAAGGCUUGUACCUCUGAAACCGAACAUUUCUACCCUUCUCCUAAAACACCCCCACCUUUUUUAACUUCCAACUCUGAAAAUAGAAAACAACUUGCUACAGCGAGAAGUGCCCCAAUUUCUAUCAAACCCAAAUUGUCAAACCAGAGUAAUGUUUUUCAUGAAGAAUUCUAUGAUAGGAGUUUCUCGUUUUCUGAGCUUUGGGCUGGACCCACUUACUCAAAUUCACCACCUCCUAGUUCAUUACCUAUUCCCAAAUUUUCAGUUGCUAAGAGAACUACAUCACUGGAGUUGGCUCGUUCUGCCCCUGAAUUUGAAAUGCAUCAUCCAUCUGCUAAGUCUGCACCUCCAUCUCCAACUCGAGACCAAGACUUUUCCGCUAGAUAUUUCUUUCAUAGUGCUGACUCUGCGACUAAGACUCUACGUCGCAUUCUUAAUCUUGAUGUUGACAAUGAAUGAACUUCAGGGAGCUUCAAGCUCCUGUAAAUAGGCUUACUCUGUCAGCCGGUUAGCUUCAGUUUGUAUAUAGAAUCAAUAAAUUGGUUAGUGAAGACAGUUAUGAGUAUCCUUGGUUUUCAGUGCUGGUGUACAUCCUUCUAUCGCAGCUAUGGGCUCUGAUGCUUUCAACUAAUGUUCAGAUGUUGCACCUUAAUCUGUGCUUGGAUGCAGAACAUGAUUUGGUUUUGGCAGACAAAGACAAGAUAGGGUGCGAUAGAAAAGCAACACAGAUUAAAUCUAAGAUAUUGGGAAGGCGGAAGUAGGCUGUUGGUGAACUUUAAUAUUGUAGUGAAUGAAACCUUCAUUCUGCAAUCUGCGUGAAUCUGCUGACUAUUAUCUAUCUAAUUUCACAUUAACAUCGCUAAGAUUAGUCAUGUGUCUGCUGGCUAUUAUCUCUGUUCUGGCCCAUCGUGUCCUUACCAGAUUUUUAGCCUCCAUUCCAUUCUAGAGUUUAGGUAGUCAUGUAAUUUGUAUCAUACUGUAGGGACCCAAACUAAUGCUUCGUUUUAUUUCUGUAGGUUUCUGUUUCAUUCUUUCCAUCCAUUCCUUACAUAUCCUCAGUUCUAACUGCUAUCCUUCUUACAUAGAUAGUCUGAUGACUUAUUGGUUAGGUUCCUUGUCCCUGAUGAAUUUGUUAUUCGACAGUUCAAUCUCUCCUCUUCUUUAACAUCCUCAAUCCCUUUCUUUUUCUCUAACCUCAUCUAAAUCUUAUAGCUUCACUCCUUUGCUUGCACACUAUGAAGGAAAAUAUUCCUUCUCAGCUGCCUUUUCAGUUUUUUUUGAAAGAAAAGGUGGGAUAGGAUAGUGAUAGUUAUGACUUUCCUGUGUUCAUUACCUCUUGGUUUUAUCAUCUUUGUACUUGUCGUGUAUGGAACUUUCUUACUGGCUUUUACAAGGUUUGUUGCCUUCCACGAGAUCAUUGACCACAUGGAGCAGAGCGGUAUAUAAGAAAACGUAAGGGUGGAGAGUUCAGGUGAUGGUUUCAGUUGCAUGUUUGGUUUGCUGUGGAGGUAGUUUGUCACCAUCGAGUUUUCUUCCUAGAAGCCUUUGUCCAGUUUGUGUUCGUUUAUCAUUGUAUUUGAAAGCUGUAUACUCUCAGAGUCCUACUGUUGGUCGUUGGAGCCUUUUCUUUUCAUUUAGUUUCUUUCUUUUCAUAUCAGUUUGGAUGGUAAUUUGCAUUCACUUUCUGUUUUGAAGGGCAGUGUUUAUUAUUGUAGUUACAAGAAAGUGAAGCAAAUAUUGUAAUGUUUAUGUUAUUUUCCAGCUUGUUGGCUA